GGUGUGGCCCAGUGGUUAGGACGCCAGGCUCAUACUCUGGCGGCCGCAGGUUAAGC
rnacentral:tRNA from 1 species